rnacentral:rRNA from 1 species
CACGUGUGCAACCAACCCCGUACCGGGAGAUAACCCGCGGAAACGUGGACUAACACCCCAUAACACCUUUCCCCCGCAUGGGGGAGAGUUUAAAAUCACGAUGGUACGGGACGGGCACGCGCGACAUUAGGUAGUUGGCGGGGUAACGGCCCACCAAGCCGACGAUGUCUAGGGGUUCUGAGAGGAAGGUCCCCCACACUGGAACUGAGACACGGUCCAGACUCCUACGGGAGGCAGCAGUGAGGAAUAUUGGUCAAUGGGCGAGAGCCUGAACCAGCCAAGUCGCGUGAGGGAAGAAUGGUCUAUGGCCUGUAAACCUCUUUUGUCAAGGAAGAAUAAGCGGCACGAGUGCCACCUUGCCAGUACUUGACGAAUAAGCAUCGGCUAACUCCGUGCCAGCAGCCGCGGUAAUACGGGGGAUGCGAGCGUUAUCCGGACUUAUUGGGUUUAAAGGGCGCGUAGGCGGGACGUCAAGUCAGCGGUAAAAGACUGCAGCUAAACUGUAGCACGCCGUUGAAACUGUCGACCUGGAGACGAGACGAGGGAGGUGGAACAAGUGAAGUAGCGGUGAAAUGCAUAGAUAUCACUUGGAACCCCGAUAGCGAAGGCAGCUUCCCAGGCUCGAUCUGACGCUGAUGCGCGAGAGCGUGGGUAGCGAACAGGAUUAGAUACCCUGGUAGUCCACGCCGUAAACGAUGCUCACUGGAUCUUGGCGAUACACGGCCAGGGUUCAAGCGAAAGUAUUAAGUGAGCCACCUGGGGAGUACGUCGGCAACGAUGAAACUCAAAGGAAUUGACGGGGGCCCGCACAAGCGGAGGAACAUGUGGUUUAAUUCGAUGAUACGCGAGGAACCUUACCCGGGUUUAAAUGCAGGUUGCAUGAGGUGGAAACACCUCUUUCCCUCGGGACUACCUGCAAGGUGCUGCAUGGUUGUCGUCAGCUCGUGCCGUGAGGUGUCGGGUUAAGUCCCAUAACGAGCGCAACCCCUAUCGCCAGUUGCCAUCGGUUCAAGCCGGGCACUCUGUCGAGACUGCCACCGUAAGGUGCGAGGAAGGCGGGGAUGACGUCAAAUCAGCACGGCCCUUACACCCGGGGCGACACACGUGUUACAAUGGCCGGUACAGAGGGCAGCCACGGGGCGACCCGGAGCGAAUCUCUAAAGCCGGUCGUAGUUCGGACUGGAGUCUGCAACCCGACUCCACGAAGUUGGAUUCGCUAGUAAUCGCGCAUCAGC